GUAGGUGAACCUGCGGAAGGAUCAUUAUCGAGUUAGGGUCGUUCUGGCCCAAACUUCCAACCCCUUGUUUAUCAUUCCAUGUUGCUUUGGUGGGCCCGCUCUUUUUGGGGCCGCCGGAGGUUUAUCUUACCUCUAGCCUGUGCCCGCCAGUAGCCUUAUUAAAUUCUUUAACUGUAUCGUCUGAGUGGCAUUUUAAAUCGUUUAA
rnacentral:misc_RNA from 1 species